GUGGGGAAUAUUGGACAAUGGGCGCAAGCCUGAUCCAGCCAUGCCGCGUGAGUGAUGAAGGCCCUAGGGUUGUAAAGCUCUUUCACCGGAGAAGAUAAUGACGGUAUCCGGAGAAGAAGCCCCGGCUAACUUCGUGCCAGCAGCCGCGGUAAUACGAAGGGGGCUAGCGUUGUUCGGAAUUACUGGGCGUAAAGCGCACGUAGGCGGACAUUUAAGUCAGGGGUGAAAUCCCGGGGCUCAACCCCGGAACUGCCUUUGAUACUGGGUGUCUGGAGUAUGGAAGAGGUAAGUGGAAUUCCGAGUGUAGAGGUGAAAUUCGUAGAUAUUCGGAGGAACACCAGUGGCGAAGGCGGCUUACUGGUCCAUUACUGACGCUGAGGUGCGAAAGCGUGGGGAGCAAAUAGGAUUAGAAACCCUAGUAGUCC
rnacentral:rRNA from 1 species